GGUUGUAAACUGCUGUUAUAAAGGAAGAACAACUAGUAUAGGAAAUGAUACUAGCCUGACGGUACUUUAUCAGAAAGCACCGGCAAACUAUGUGCCAGCAGCCGCGGUA
rnacentral:rRNA from 1 species